rnacentral:tRNA from 1 species
GGGAUUGUAGUUCAAUUGGUCAGAACACCUCCUUGUCAAGACGGAAGCUGCGGAUUUGAGCCCCGUCAGUCCCG